rnacentral:rRNA from 5 species
GAUGAAGAACGCAGCGAAAUGCGAUAAGUAAUGUGAAUUGCAGAAUUCAGUGAAUCAUCGAAUCUUUGAACGCACCUUGCGCUCCUUGGUAUUCCGAGGAGCAUGCCUGUUUGAGUGUCAUUAAAUUCUCAACCUCACCAGUUUUGUUAUGAGACUGUGUA